rnacentral:rRNA from 1 species
AUACGGAGGGUGCAAGCGUUAAUCGGAAUUACUGGGCGUAAAGCGCGCGUAGGCGGCUUGGUCAGUCGGAUGUGAAAGCCCCGGGCUUAACCUGGGAAUUGCACUCGAUACUGCCGAGCUAGAGUAUGGGAGAGGGAAGUGGAAUUUCCGGUGUAGCGGUGAAAUGCGUAGAUAUCGGAAGGAACACCAGUGGCGAAGGCGACUUCCUGGCCCAAUACUGACGCUCAGGUGCGAAAGCGUGGGUAGCGAACAGGAUUAGAUACCCGCGUAGUCC